GCCUGCUCUUUGUUUCAGGAGAAGAUACUAUCUCUAUCUUCUAAGGCUGUUUGCUAAAAAGCAUCUUUGAAAAGAUAACCUACAACAAAAAGUCAGUGUUCCUGCUCAUAAGAUGUGCAGAAAUAUGAGAGAACCAUGGAGAAUUGCCUGUCAAGAGCACAUGGUAUGGAAGCUAAUCUUUGAAGACACACGUAAUCAGCAAAAUGGUGAUUGUUGAAGGACAAGUGUUGCCUGACGUGCUAAUUUCUAGGUUGAAAAGAAACAUCAUUUUUGCAACAAUGAAAUUGUGAUCUGCCCUUCCUUGCAGUGUUAAGACGCUUCCCCCAACUCCUCCUCCCU
rnacentral:lncRNA from 1 species